GAUGAACGCUAGCUACAGGCUUAACACAUGCAAGUCGAGGGGCAGCAUGGUCUUAGCUUGCUAAGGCCGAUGGCGACCGGCGCACGGGUGAGUAACGCGUAUCCAACCUGCCUUACACUCUUGGACAGCCUUCUGAAAGGGAGAUUAAUACAAGAUGUUAUCAUGAGUAAGCAUUUUCGCAUGAUUAAAGGUUUACCGGUGUAAGAUGGGGAUGCGUUCCAUUAGAUAGUAGGCGGGGUAACGGCCCACCUAGUCUUCGAUGGAUAGGGGUUCUGAGAGGAAGGUCCCCCACAUUGGAACUGAGACACGGUCCAAACUCCUACGGGAGGCAGCAGUGAGGAAUAUUGGUCAAUGGACGAGAGUCUGAACCAGCCAAGUAGCGUGAAGGAUGAAGGUUCUAUGGAUUGUAAACUUCUUUUAUACGGGAAUAAACGAAUCCACGUGUGGAUUUUUGCAUGUACCGUAUGAAUAAGGAUCGGCUAACGUCCGUGCCAGCAGCCG
rnacentral:rRNA from 1 species